GAAAUUCUUUUUAAACUAUUUCCUG
rnacentral:tRNA from 1 species